UACGAAGGGGGCUAGCGUUGUUCGGAAUCACUGGGCGUAAAGGGCGCGUAGGCGGCCGAGAAAGUCGGGGGUGAAAGCCUGUGGCUCAACCACAGAAUUGCCUUCGAUACUGUUUGGCUUGAGACCGGAAGAGGUAAGUGGAACUGCGAGUGUAGAGGUGAAAUUCGUAGAUAUUCGCAAGAACACCAGUGGCGAAGGCGGCUUACUGGUCCGGUUCUGACGCUGAGGCGCGAAAGCGUGGGGAGCAAACAGG
rnacentral:rRNA from 1 species